rnacentral:rRNA from 1 species
GAUGAACGCUAGCUACAGGCUUAACACAUGCAAGUCGAGGGACCGACGGAUGGGUGAGUAACACGUAACCAACCUGCCCUUUCGGCGGAGAUAGCGUAUCGUAAGAAAGAUUAAUACCAGAUGAAGAGGACGGGGAUGCGUUCCAUGAGGUUGUGGGUGAGGUAACGGCACACCAAGCCUUCGAUGGAUAGUGGUUCUGAGAGGAGGGUCCCCCAGAUUGGAACUGAGCCACUGUCCAAACUCCUACGGGAGGCAGCAGUUAGGGAUACUGGUCAAUGGGCGUUAGCCUGAACCAGCCAAGUAGCGUGAAGGAUGAAGGCUUAUGGGUCGUAAACUUCUUUUAGAUAAGAAUAGGUAUUAUAUGAAUAAGGAUCGACUAACUCCGUGCCAGCAGCCGCGGUAAUUC